CAGCAGUUACAGGAGCAGCAGUUGCAACAACAACAGUUACAACAACAGCAACAACAAAAUUAACGUCCGAGACCUGCUAUACCUGGAGAAAUGACAAAUGGAACAGGAAAUGUGAGACAGUCAACUGAAUUACCAGGAUACAGACCUGUUCAAAUUUAGCCUGGUUUUCCAGCAUAUCCAGUUUCUCCAAAUAUUUCACCAAUAUCACAGAAACCUGACAGUUACAGAAUGAUGUUUCAGUCAGUGGAAAGUCAGGAUACAAGUGUGAGUGCACCACUGAAUAGAGGUAUUACAGUAUCUUUACCCAAAGUUGAUAUGGACCAAUCUUAUGAUAGUCCCUCGCCCAACCCACCACAGACAGCAAUAUAAUAUAUACAAACAAUACAUAAGAGGGGAACAAUCAGUAAUGAUUAUAAAGAGUUCAAAUAUAAAGAUAUUUUAUGAUAUUGUUUAUGUUAAAUUAUGUUAAUGACAACUAAAAGAAAGAAAAGAUGUUGUGACACAUUUAAAGAAAACUGCCUUACAUGUAAAGUUGAUUACUUUAUUUUAUUACUGAUUUAUUUUGUUUUCAGUAGAUUACUGAACUAUAACACUGAGUUAUAUUAUGAUAAUUUCACUAUCAUCUUGAAAACCAUAGUUUCACUUUAGCAGAAGUAUAUUCAUGAUAUUUAAAUGCAGAUGAAAUCGAUAUCCAUAAAUAAAUGGAAAUUUUGGCAGAAAUACAGUACAGUGUAUGAAAAAUGUACAUAAUUACUUAAAGCAUAUAAACGUUCAAAUUCUGAAAUUUGAUGUAAGUGUAUAAUGUGUACGUUGUUACGCCAAAGUUGAGGAAAUGUAUAUGCUUUUGAUAAAUACACUGUUUAAAAAAUAUGCACCUUUACAAUAUUAGGGUAUCAGACAUGUAAUGGAGACACUUUUUAAACGCGGCAAAUAUUGGGUUUUCCUAUAUAGUGAGUGAGCAUUGUGCUUAUUUUCCAUUUAUUUACCAAGUUGUAACUGUAGGAUAUUUUGUACGGGAACAACCAUAUUUGCCUAGUUUAAAAAUGACCAAUUCCUCAAUUAAUACAUUCUAAGUGUAAUGAUAUUGUGAAAUAAUAAUAUUGUAAACUAUGUUUACAUCUAAAACGUUUUGCUGAGAGUUUUUGCUCAUAUUAUGUUUUCUGUAUUAAGACAUAAUGAAAGAGUUUGUGUAAAGUCUGUGAUAGUGUUCAAAUAUAAACUUGCAUGGCCACUUUGUUCCCAAUAUUGGGCAAUAUUUGGUGGAAUGUCAGUAUAGAAAAUAUGUAAAAUAAUAAUAUAGAAUUAUCAGAUUGUAUGUUGUUUAAUAGUAUAAAAUUGUAUAUUUAGCAUAACUUUGUA